rnacentral:rRNA from 1 species
AACGAACGCUGGCGGCAUGCCUAACACAUGCAAGUCGAACGAGAUCUUCGGGUCUAGUGGCGCACGGGUGCGUAACGCGUGGGAAUCUCCCCUUUGGUUCGGAAUAACAGUUGGAAACGACUGCUAAUACCGGAUGAUGACGAAAGUCCAAAGAUUUAUCGCCAGAGGAUGAGCCCGCGUAGGAUUAGCUAGUUGGUGUGGUAAAGGCGCACCAAGGCGACGAUCAUUAGCUGGUCUGAGAGGAUGAUCAGCCACACUGGGACUGAGACACGGCCCAGACUCCUACGGGAGGCAGCAGUGGCGAAUAUUGGACAAUGGGCGAAAGCCUGAUCCAGCAAUGCCGCGUGAGUGAUGAAGGCCUUAGGGUUGUAAAGCUCUUUUACCCGGGAUGAUAAUGACAGUACCGGGAGAAUAAGCUCCGGCUAACUCCGUGCCAGCAGCCGCCGUAA